rnacentral:rRNA from 1 species
UCCAGACUCCUACGGGAGGCAGCAGUGAGGAAUAUUGGUCAAUGGGCGGAAGCCUGAACCAGCCAAGUCGCGUGAGGGAAUAAGGCCCUACGGGUCGUAAACCUCUUUUGCCGGGGAGCAAGGGCCGGGACGAGUCCCGGUCCGGAGAGUACCCGGAGAAAAAGCAUCGGCUAACUCCGUGCCAGCAGCCGCGGUAAUACGGAGGGGGCGAGCGUUAUCCGGAUUCACUGGGUGUAAAGGGAGCGUAGACGGCCAUGCAAGCCAGGGGUGAAAGCCCGGGGCCCAACCCCGGGACUGCCCUUGGAACUGCAUGGCUGGAGUGCGGGAGGGGCAGGCGGAAUUCCUGGUGUAGCGGUGAAAUGCGUAGAUAUCAGGAGGAACACCGGCGGCGAAGGCGGCCUGCUGGACCGCGACUGACGUUGAGGCUCGAAAGCGUGGGGAGCGAACAGGAUUAGAUACCCUAGUA